rnacentral:tRNA from 1 species
GAUCUCGUAGCUCAGCUGGUAGAGCAGUACACUUUUAAUGUACGGGUCCUGGGUUCGAGUCCCAGCGGGGUCA